UGACCAUUAAAGCGAGAAAUGGCAGGUUGUACAAAAGAAUGAUUCUCUCGCACCAUUAAUUUUGCGGCUACAAAGAAGAAGGUUACUACUUCUUUGAUACUCAAGCCCCUAGUGGGCCUUUGAUACUAGAUGUAGAAAACAAGAACUUUUGGAUAUAGAGAAAUUGUACUGCUGAAAGAUGUUGCUCUCUUAUUGAUAUUAAGAGUCGGCAUAAAUAGCCUUUAUCAAAAAUAGACAACACUAAAAAACUGCAACUAAGAAUACCCACAUCUAGCCACCCCUAAACAGAUGGGAUACUCCAAAAGAAUAGCUCAAACAAUAACUAAAGCCCUAACAACUUGGGAUUAUUAACAAACUAACAACUAACAAGGACUAGGUUUUUAAAGGUGCCCUUAGCUUGUGCGACAUUAGUUUUUCAAUUAUUUGGCAAAAAAGGCUACUACUACUGUCAAGUUACAUAAACGGAGAUUGACAGAUGGUUCGAAUUGUAAUGCGUUAAAAAGUUAUGAUUUAAUUUGUUCAAAUUAAAAAUAUAAAGUUUAAUUUAUCACUAAGGUCAAACGUUAGGGUCUUUUUUGUAAUUUUUACUUUCUUUUUUUUAUUUAUAUUUAGUCGUUGUAAUACAACAGGCCCAGCACAAUAUGAAACAUGAACCCAAAUUCUGAACUUGAGACCCAGCCAUACACCAAAAUUGGACUUAUUGUGCAUUUUCAUGGGACUCUCAGUUUUUUACACUUUUUACUAAAUACAUUUUAUUUUUUUUGAUUAUUAUAAAAAUUAUAAUAAACUCUUACUACUUUUAACAAUACCUUGAAUCGCCUCUUCCCAUACUUUUAUAUUUUUGCUUCUUUCUUUCUACGAAAUGUGUAGUUUAGGUGUUUAAUCAAAGGCAAAAUUUAUAGUAUAAAUCGUGUAUAUCAUAAAAAUAUAGACCAUGUAUAGUGAAUGUUACUGGAAGUAUAUAUUAGAAAUAGUAAAAAUAGUGAGUCAUGCAUUAUUGUGGUAAUGUUAUGACUAUCUGGAAUUAACAUCGGAAAAUUUCUAACAAGUUAUUUCAAAAUGAGAAAUGUUCACUAACUUGACUAGAUUACUAAAAUCUGGAAAUUUUCAAUUACUAAUAAUUCGAGAAUGGCAAUUAGCUUAAAAGAAGUUAAUAAAAGAAAACUGAGAAAAAGUGCCAAGCAUAACAUCGAUUUCUCAAACAUGAUAGAGUCAUUUCCCAUGUUAUUCUCGUUGAUCAAAUUAAAGUUAUUUUCUAAGCAUCUUGUAGGUUAUUACAUGAAAUUUAGUGUACGUUACUGUGGGGUUGUUUGUUUGAAGGAUGAGAGGAAGGAAAUUGAGGACAGACACUCAUGACGGUCUUACGGAUGCAUAAGUAGUUCCGACCCUUCAUCCACCCAUCACACAAUACCUUAGUUGUAAUCACCGAAAUAGUGAGAAUGGAAGCCGGAGCUGUUUCAGAAAAACGGCCCUCCAAUAUUCAAGUUAGACGUCUAGAUAUUUAGAGAAAGAAAGUAUAUAAUGUUCUAAGAGUAAGGUUACACGUACCUCCAAAAGAAUAGUAGUGUUCCCUUGUAUACUCUAGCUCAGCUCGUGGCUUGACAUGCUAGUUGUCUUGUCAUUCGAUAGUUAUAACUCGGCGCAUACCCACAUGAGCCAACUACUGUGUUAGUGAGUAGGAGGCUAACCCAGUCAUGCCCCUACAACAUGGCUAGUUGCUCAUCAUCAACUGCCAACAUCUCUAUCCGGGUGUGAGAGCUGUCAGAAGGUACUCUGACGUGCAAGUCAUUUUUUGUCCCCUGACAUCCUUUGGGAUUACCACCGGCCGUUACCCUUCAUCUAAGCUUCUAACGCAGUUAUUGUUUCAACCUCGGUGAAUAGCGGCACCUUGGAGGUAACGAUGGCCCUAGCUCAGAUGGCAUUUGUCUACGGUAGUGACUGUUCUGAGUUUUGGCAUAGAGGGUCUCCGAACUCGUUCUAUAGCGGCAGUUGGUGGAGACCUCCACCAAAGCAAGGUCGGUGUUGAAUAGUAUUCGUACCGAGCUUUAGCGUAGGGAAUCACUGAGUUUACUUCAUAGCAAUAGCCCAGCGGAGGUUCCUUCCUUAUCAAGGCCAGAUUAUGUCAUUGUAUCAUACAAAUUCUUAUAAAAUAGGAUGUCCUCCAUCCGUGAUUUUCACAUGGCAUAAUUUAUCACUGAAAGCAUGAUCAUGGAUCCCAAACUAUUCUCUUCCAUCUUAUUUCUCCCAAAUAGAAGUAAAAUAUUUAAAAACCAAUCUCGCGGAUGAAUCUAGAAUGCCGAGAAACCUUAAAAAGGGCUAAAUUGUCAACAUUAAAAAGUUUUGGGACUAAACUGUCAAAAUCAAAAGUUCUGGAACCAAAUUGAUAAAAUCAAAAAGUUCUGGGAUCAAAUUAAUAAAAUUAGAAAUUUCAAAGACUAAAUUAUAAUUUAUAGUAACUCUAGGGACCAAGUUAUAAUUAACAGAAAAUCUAGGGGCCAAA
rnacentral:lncRNA from 1 species